rnacentral:rRNA from 1 species
UGCCAGCCGCCGCGGUAAUACUGAAGGUGCAAGCGUUAAUCGGAAUCACUGGGCGUAAAGGGCGCGUAGGCGGCCUGGCAAGUCAGUUGUGAAAGCCCUCGGCUUAACCGAGGAACUGCGACUGAAACUGUCGGGCUUGAGUCCCGGAGAGGGUAGCGGAAUUCCCAGUGUAGCGGUGAAAUGCGUAGAUACUGGGAGGAACACCUGUGGCGAAGGCGGCUACCUGGACGGGUACUGACGCUGAGGCGCGAAAGCUAGAGGAGCAAACAGGAUUAGAUA